AACGCGAAGAACCUUACCUGGGCUUGACAUGCAGAAGACAACAGUAGAGAUACUGUCUCCCUUCGGGGUUUCUGCACAGGUGCUGCAUGGCUGUCGUCAGCUCGUGCCGUGAGGUGUUGGGUUAAGUCCCGCAACGAGCGCAACCCUUAUCAUUAGUUGCCAUCAGGUAAUGCUGGGAACUCUAAUGAGACUGCCUGGGUUAACCAGGAGGAAGGUGGGGAUGACGUCAAGUCCGCAUGGCCCUUAUGUCCAGGGCUACACACGUGCUACAAUGGUCGGUACAGAGGGCAGCCAAAUCGUGAGAUGGAGCAAAUCCCCCAAAGCCGGCCCCAGUUCAGAUUGUAGUCUGCAACUCGACUACAUGAAGUUGGAAUUGCUAGUAAUGGCGUGUCAGCUACAACGCCGUGAAUACGUUCCCGGGCCUUGUACACACCGGCUAC
rnacentral:rRNA from 1 species